rnacentral:rRNA from 1 species
AUUGAACGCUGGCGGCAGGCCUAACACAUGCAAGUCGAACGGUAACAGGAAACAGCUUGCUGUUUCGCUGACGAGUGGCGGACGGGUGAGUAAUGUCUGGGAAACUGCCUGAUGGAGGGGGAUAACUACUGGAAACGGUAGCUAAUACCGCAUAACGUCGCAAGACCAAAGAGGGGGACAUUCGGGCCUCUUGCCAUCAGAUGUGUCCAGAUGGGAUUAGCUAGUAGGUGGGGUAACGGCUCACCUAGGCGACGAGCCCUAGCUGGUCUGAGAGGAUGACCAGCCACACUAGAACUGAGACACGGUCCAGACUCCUACGGGAGGCAGCAGUGGGGAAUAGUGGACAAUGGGCGGAAGCCUGAUGCAGCCAUGGCGCGUGUAUGAAGAAGGCCUUCGGGUUGUAAAGUACUUUCAGCGGGGAGGAAGGGAGUAAAGUUAAUACCUUUGCUCAUUGACGUUACCCGCAGAAGAAGCACCGGCUAACUACGUG